rnacentral:lncRNA from 1 species
AUGCUAAAAUCAGUAUCCUUUGACCUGUAUGCAAAGCCAGGUAACAACAGGACURUAACUCUGAUGAAUCCCAAGAAGUCUUUUUAUCAGUGGAGGCUGCGAGUUCCUUCUGACUAUGUGGUGAGACUGGUAGUUACUACUUUGCGUGGUGUCACUCCAGGGAGCUGUGCAUCACACCAGUUAUCAGCAUAUGAUUUCCUUCUUCCUCUGCAGAACAAGAUCAUUACAAGAUGGUGUGGGCCUGGGGCCUGGACUCCUCCUGUUGUACGUUUAACUUCAUUGAGUAAUGUAAUGUUGCUUACCUUCUCACUGGACUGAAGAGAAGAAAGGAACGUCCUAAAAGCUCACUUUCAAGCCAUCCCUAAAAUCAGUAAGUGAUGAAUAGAAACAAGUGCCUGAUGUAAGCAAGCUUAUUCCUCUUGUUGCUUCAAAAAAGUUGAUAUUGCCUGAACAUUUUUUUUUCUUUGGGGGAAAAAAUAUUGGUGUAGAAGUCAGGGAAUUCUCAUUCUGAUCCACUUAAAAGAGAUGUCAGAGAACUGAAUAAAGAAUAGAGAAUAUCCUUCUCUUUGGUAGAU